AUUGAACGCUGGCGGCAGGCCUAACACAUGCAAGUCGAACGAGUGGCGGACGGGUGAGUAAUGUCUUGGAAACUGCCUGAUGGAGGGGGAUAACUACUGGAAACGGUAGCUAAUACCGCAUACCAUCAGAUGUGCCCAUAUGGGAUUAGCUAGUUGGUGGGGUAAAGGCUCACCUAGGCGACGAUCCCUAGCUGGUCUGAGAGGAUGACCAGCCACACUGAAACUGAGGCACGGUCCAGACUCCUACGGGAGGCAGCAGUGGGGAAUAUUGCACAAUGGGCGAAAGCCUGAUGCAGCCAUGACGAGUGUAUGAAGAAGGCCUUCGGGUUGUAAAGUACUUUCAGCGGGGAGGCGUUACCCGCAGAAGAAGCACCGGGUAACUCCGUGCCAGCAGCCGCGGUAAUUC
rnacentral:rRNA from 1 species